CAGCAGUCGCCGCGGUAAUACGAAGGGUGCAAGCGUUAAUCGGAAUUACUGGGCGUAAAGCGUGCGUAGGCGGUUUGUUAAGUCUGUUGUGAAAUCCCCGGGCUCAACCUGGGAAUGGCAGUGGAUACUGGCAAGCUAGAGUGUGUCAGAGGAUGGUGGAAUUCCCGGUGUAGCGGUGAGAUGCGUAGAGAUCGGGAGGAACAUCAGUGGCGAAGGCGGCCAUCUGGGACAACACUGACGCUGAGGCACGAAAGCGUGGGGAGCAAACAGGAUUAGAUACCCCAGUAGUCCCUGUCUCUUAUAC
rnacentral:rRNA from 1 species